GGAAUCCGGUUAGUCUCACCCACCCCAAAAUCUAAUCAAACCCAACCGCCCCAAAAUAACUCUCACCGGCCGGCGGCAUGCUCCAAACCACCCCAAAAUUCAACCAUGCAAUCCUUACACAUCCUUCUUCCUAAAUUCAUCAGUAUCUUUCCCUAAACCCAGCCAAAUUUUCCCAAUUUUGGAUCUAAAAUUGAAAAAUGCAAGCCCUAAUUUCCCUAUAUUCUCUUAUUUUUUCAAAUUUCGACUCGUUCUAACUCGGAUCUUACAUUAAUAGAUUACUCUCAACGGGAGUAAUCGAUUUAUGAUAGUUUUGAGUGAUUACCAGGAUGUCAGAUUUGACUGAUUUACCGACUCUGGAAAAACUUCGGCUCCUUUCAUCGUUCGUUGAGUCAUCUCAAUUUGUCAGUUCAUUCCGGCAAGAAUUGGUACAUUUCCCUUCGUUUCUCUCUUGACUUUGUUUCUUGCACCAUUUUUCUGUUUUUUAUAUUAUCAUGCUUACAUUUGUUUCGUAAUUUUGUUUUCUUUAUUAGUUGAUUAAUCUUAGUUUGUUUUGUUUUCAAUUUUUUAAUAGCAUAAGUUAGGGUUAAUCGUCAAAACAUCUAAUUUCGAAUUGUUUUAUUUUUUUCUACUUUUUAUAAUCACUGAAGUUGAUUUUGGUUUGAUCAUUUUGGCUGAUUGGGCUUUUGGUCAUCUCUGACUCGGUUUAAAGAGGUCUAUUCAUUUGGGUUGGGUCUUGGGUCAAAUUCGACCCAUGUGUGAUUCAUUUCGGAUGUAAAUCCAGGGGUGUCUAGGAAUGUUUUAGGUAUUUGAGGACUUGGGGGAAUAUUUUUUGUUGUGGGAAGCUUCUAGAUGAUAAGGUUGGGUUGGUUUAUUAAGAGAUAAGGGAGGUUUCAGAUAUUUUAGAAGGGUUUAGGGAUAAAAUGACCAAGAAAUUAAGGGGUAGAAGGGGAAUUAGCUAAUCAGGCUAGUGCUGCUUUAGAAAUGCCUCUAUAAGGACUCUUUACUUCCAAUUUGAGGUAGAUAUUGGAACCUAUAGAAAAUAUACAAAACAUUAUACAUUGUGUGAGAGAGUUCAAUGGGUUUUCACUUUUGAUUUUCCUUCAUGUAAAAAGAACAAACACACUCUGAAGCUUCAUUUUCUAGAUAUCUGAUUCCAAAAUGGGUUUGAGCUGAAGUUGUUUGCUCGAUGAUUAGUUGCUGCUUCUUUGCUUUCUUGCUUCACAGAAUUUCAAUGUUUUUCUCAUCAUUUUGCUCUUGCUCUCUAGGUAUUCUUUUGGGCUUUGAUGACUCCUGUAGCACAUACGUACUUAGAUAUAUGAAAUUGUAAUGGGAACUUCCAUGAAUGAAUCAAGGAUUUUUGGUUUCCUCCUAUAUGUGUUUUAUUGAAUCUCUAUGUCUAUUUUCGUUUAUUGUCUUUUAAUUUACUAUGAUCAUUGUGUGAUGUGCUGAAUGGAAAAUGAUUUAGGAAAAAAUUCGUAUGUUAGGAUCUAGAUGUUAAUGUCUAGAUUUUCAUAUUAGUAGAUAGCUUUUGUGGUUGCUUUCACAUUUAGGAUUGUUAAUUUGAAUGUCAUGUUAAUGUUGGCUGUUGAAAUUACAUAGUUUAAUAAUCUAAUUUUAGCAAUGUUAGAGUAUUUUGUUGGUGCAAGAAUUAGUGUGUUUUAAAAGAGUAUCUUUGGAUCCAUGUUGAUCUUACUAUUGUUUGUAAGCAGAAUUAAAAAUUUAAAUGCGUAAUAUGGUGAUGCUCGUUCUUGUCUUAUGUUUUUCUUAAAAUCCUUUAAGGGAUUACGCUAAUUUGGGCAGCCUGGAAAUAGGCCUUUCAUGCAGGUUUCCGCCCCUUGUCACUCCUUUGGACCAACUUUGAGCCUUAUUAUAUCCAUCAGAUUUUAGCUCAUCAGUUUUGUAAUUAAUAUAGUAAAAGGAGUUUCUUUAAGUAUUGUAUGGCCCUUCUCAUUUUAAUGCUGGGUUUGGAAUCUAGCACAGCCCUUUCUUGUGCUCUUUUUUUC
rnacentral:lncRNA from 1 species